UACAGAGGGUGCGAGCGUUGUCCGGAAUUACUGGGCGUAAAGGGCGCGUAGGCGGUCAGAUAAGUCAGCUGUGAAAACCUCGGGCUUAACCCGAGGCCUGCAGUUGAAACUGUCUGGCUGGAGUGUGGGAGAGGAGAGUGGAAUUCCCGGUGUAGCGGUGAAAUGCGUAGAUAUCAGGAGGAAUACCGAUGGCGAAGGCAGGUCUCUGGGCUGACACUGACGCUCAUGCACGAAAGCGUGGGGAGCAAACAGG
rnacentral:rRNA from 1 species